rnacentral:rRNA from 1 species
GGCUCAGGAUGAACGCUAGCUACAGGCUUAACACAUGCAAGUCGAGGGGCAGCAUGGGGGUUUGCUUGCAAAUCCUGAUGGCGACCGGCGCACGGGUGAGUAACGCGUAUCCAACCUUCCCGUCACUCGGGGACAGCCCAGCGAAAGCUGGAUUAACCCCCGAUGUUGUCAUACGAUAGCAUUAGAGUGUGACGAAAGGCUAACGGUGACGGAUGGGGAUGCGUCUGAUUAGCUAGUUGGAGGGGUAACGGCCCACCAAGGCGACGAUCAGUAGCCGGUCUGAGAGGAUGAACGGCCACAUUGGGACUGAGACACGGCCCAGACUCCUACGGGAGGCAGCAGUGGGGAAUCUUCCGCAAUGGACGAAAGUCUGACGGAGCAACGCCGCGUGAACGAUGACGGCCUUCGGGUUGUAAAGUUCUGUUAUACGGGACGAAUGGCGUAGCGGUCAAUACCCGUUACGAGUGACGGUACCGUAAGAGAAAGCCACGGCUAACUACGUG